rnacentral:rRNA from 1 species
UACGGAGGGAGCUAGCGUUGUUCGGAAUUACUGGGCGUAAAGCGCGCGUAGGCGGCUUUGUAAGUUAGAGGUGAAAGCCCGGAGCUCAACUCCGGAACUGCCUUUAAAACUGCAUCGCUUGAAUCCAGGAGAGGUGAGUGGAAUUCCGAGUGUAGAGGUGAAAUUCGUAGAUAUUCGCAAGAACACCAGUGGCGAAGGCGGCUCACUGGCCCGGUACUGACGCUGAGGCACGAAAGCGUGGGGAGCAAACAGG